CUGGCCGUGGUACAAACUCUCCGCCUCUUGUCGCUGUUGUCUCCUGCGGCGUGUGCGCUGAAAGCCAGCCAAAAAGGACUAAAAAAUGGCGCUCACUUCCCAAGGAACAAAGAAAAAAGUUUGCUACUACUAUGACGGGGAUGUUGGAAACUACUACUAUGGCCAGGGCCAUCCCAUGAAGCCCCACAGGAUCCGCAUGACACACAACCUGUUGCUAAACUAUGGCCUCUACAGAAAGAUGGAGAUCUACCGUCCACACAAAGCCAGCGGAGAGGAGAUGACCAAGUACCACAGCGAUGAUUACAUCAAGUUUCUGCGCUCGAUCCGGCCGGACAACAUGUCAGAAUACAGCAAACAAAUGCAGAGAUUUAAUGUGGGGGAGGAUUGUCCUGUGUUUGAUGGCUUGUUCGAGUUCUGCCAGCUCUCGGCGGGGGGCUCAGUCGCCGGUGCCGUCAAGUUGAACAAACAGCAGACGGACAUUGCCAUCAACUGGGCUGGAGGUCUGCAUCACGCCAAGAAGUCCGAGGCCUCUGGUUUUUGCUACGUGAACGACAUCGUGCUGGCUAUUCUGGAGUUACUGAAAUACCACCAGAGAGUUUUGUACAUAGACAUUGACAUCCAUCAUGGAGACGGUGUGGAGGAGGCUUUCUACACCACCGACCGUGUCAUGACUGUGUCCUUCCACAAAUACGGAGAGUAUUUCCCUGGAACCGGCGACCUCAGGGACAUCGGGGCCGGCAAGGGUAAAUACUACGCUGUGAAUUACCCGCUCAGAGACGGGAUCGACGACGAGUCAUAUGAAGCCAUAUUCAAACCCAUCAUGGCGAAGGUGAUGGAGAUGUACCAGCCCAGUGCCGUGGUUCUGCAGUGUGGGGCCGAUUCCCUGUCAGGAGACAGGCUCGGAUGCUUCAACCUCACCAUUAAAGGACACGCCAAGUGUGUGGAGUACAUGAAGAGCUUCAACCUGCCGCUGCUCAUGCUGGGCGGAGGCGGCUACACCAUCCGCAACGUGGCACGCUGCUGGACAUACGAGACAGCUGUCGCACUCGACAGCUCCAUCCCGAAUGAGCUCCCCUACAAUGACUACUUUGAAUACUUUGGGCCGGACUUCAAGCUGCACAUCAGCCCCUCCAACAUGACCAAUCAGAACACCAAUGACUACCUGGAGAAGAUCAAACAGCGCUUGUUUGAGAACUUGCGCAUGCUGCCUCACGCCCCUGGAGUGCAGAUGCAGGCCAUCCCGGAGGACGCCGUGCAGGAGGACAGCGGAGACGAAGAGGAGGAGGAUCCCAACAAGCGCAUCUCCAUCCGCGCUCAUGACAAGAGGAUAGCGUGCGAGGAGGAGUUCUCCGACUCGGAGGAUGAAGGCGAAGGAGGCCGCAGAAACGCGGCCAGCUUCAAGAAAGCCAAGCGAGCCAAAACCGAAGGAGAGAAGGAGGGUGAAGAAAAGGAGAAGAAAGCUAACUUCCUGUAAUGAAUGUUUUCCCUCCGCCACUUUAAAGAAGUGAAAGAAGAGGAGAAGGUCCCAGAGGAGGAGAAAAUGGACACGUCAAAGCCUAAAGAGGAGUCCAAGACCCCUUGAGUCUUUCAGCACCCAGCGACGCCCAUGCAACAGAUCAGUGAGGACCGUAAAGCAAGAUUAUUUUGGAUAAAUCAUCUUUUCUGGCUGCUGCAGAGGGAAAUCAGUGAAGGACUUUACCUUUUCCAAGCGGGAUUCUCCUCCCCGAAAACAGGGCGGAGAACCAAACCUUUCAGUUCUGUUUUUUUUUUCUUUUUUUUCCUAGGACGCCUUUUCAACCUUGCUGUUGUGGACUGAAGUCAAACUGAAAGUUUUCAAGUAUGAUUUUGUAUAAGUUUUCAAGUUUGUUUUUAUGCUUUUUUUUUUUUUUUUUUUUUUGCUUUUUCUCAUGAACAACUCUGUAAAAAUGGCUUAGCACAGUACAUACACACACACGCACGCACACACACCUGCUUUUAUAUAUCUGAGGAUUUAAUUUAUUUAAAUCAUAGAUAUUUUUGGCUACAGUUUUCAUGUCUUUCUGUCCCACCUUUGUCCCGUGCCUUUAAAUACGUAGUUAAAGCAUGUUGGUACAGUAGAUCCUGUUUCUGUAAUAUAUUUGUGUCGCUGGGCUCGCCUGCUAGGGUCAGUGAUAGGGUUGCAUUCUCCUGAGUAGCUACUACAUGGCACUGCAUUAGCAAUUUCCAUUCUUAUGUUUUUGGUUAUUAUUUAGUACGUGCUCUUUAUCAUUGCUAAAUGUGAGGGGCUCCUGCCUCACAGUAUGUGUUUUUGUGCUGUUAAGUUUGUGUUUCACUGAACUUUGGACCUGAAAGUCCGAUGAAAAGUGAGACAGAUGUCUUAAUAAUUUGUUGUAUAUAUUUGUACUCUUGACAAAAAUCAGUAAAAA